CAAUUCCCGAAUGGUACACCGAACAAGUCAUUGCAUUUCUGAUCGAGGUCAUUCAACAUCCGAUUGAUUUUAAUCAACUUCCGAUGUAAGUCAUUUGAGGUAUCAUAACUUGAGGUAUAGAAGUCAUUUGAGGUAUCAUAACUUGAGGUAUAUAAGUCAUUUAAGGUAUCAUAACUUGAGGUAUAGAAGUCAUUUGAGGUAUCACUUGAGGUAUCACUUGAGGUAUCACUUGAGGUAUCGAAGUUAUUUCCCUCAAAUUUCAAUGGGGUCAACCAAUGAGAUUCAUCCUCCCCUUUGCCUAAUAACAGGCGCUGCAAUUUCACUAGGG
rnacentral:lncRNA from 1 species